rnacentral:rRNA from 1 species
GUUAGGAAUAUUGGACAAUGGGCGAAAGCCUGAUCCAGCCAUGCCGCGUGAACGAUGAAGGCCUUCGGGUUGUAAAGCUCUUUAGCCGAUGAUUAUAAUGACUGUAGUCGGAAAAUAAGCCCCGGCUAACUCCGUGCCAGCAGCCGCGGUAAUCCGAAGGGGGCGAGCGUUAUUCGGAAUCACUGGGCGUAAAGCGUGCGUAGGCGGUUUUGUAAGUUAGGAGUGAAAGCCCAGGGCUCAACCUUGGAAUUGCUCUUAAAACUGCAAGGCUCGGAUGUCGGAGAGGAUAGCCGAAUUUCCAGGGUAGAAGUGAAAUGCGUAGAUAGUGGAAGGAACACCAGUGGCGUAAGCGGCUAUCUGGACGAGUAUUGACGCUGAGGCACGAAAGCGUGGGGAUCAAACAGGAUUAGAUACCCUAGUAGUCC